rnacentral:lncRNA from 1 species
AGAGAGAGAAAUAGCUGGAGCCACCAUGCUGAGAGCAGUCCAUGCUGCUGAGAGGUGCCCAGGUGACUUCCUGUUCAAAUGGAUGCAAACCCAAGCACACUUUUGGAGUACUGUAAUGAAGAAGGAGCAGGGCUAUCCACAGGCACCCAGGGGCCAACUCCACAAAUGGUCCUAAUUCUACCUGGGACACACUGCACAUCUCAAAUAGAAUGGAUGGGAGAUGUGGCUCAGCAGAAGAGCUGGGAAGAGCACAGGGGACAAGAGUUCUGGGUUGCUCUCAGGCUCUCUCGCACAGCACAAUGCUGACAAGAAAGGACAACAUAUUUAAAGAAGAUGGCUGUCCUGGGUAUCAUGAGAUGAGCUAGCGGUGCUCACAGGGGGGCCUCGGAACUGAAGACAGGCUCCACAACUGGGACUUCCACCUGUGCCAACACUGAUUUUUUGGGUGGAUAUCCUAAUACCCUCAUUUUCUCUGCCUAGUUUUCUCUGCUGACUUUACCAAGUCUUCCCCUAAAUAAAUACUACAUCGCAGUUU